rnacentral:lncRNA from 1 species
CCCAAAACUAACAAGUGGCCAAUAAGGAUGAGCCAAAUAUCCUGACUCCACUCUGGUUCCACCCCUUGCCUUACCCUAUCCAAUAGCGAUCCAACAGCGCCAACCUGGCUCCACCCCUGCCUUACCCUAUAUAAGUCUGUUCACUUCCUCACUAAAACGGAAUCGUUCCCGAAACCUCCCCGGAGUCUGCCGGUGUUUCCUCGCCAUCCUGUCCUAUCCCAGCCCCAGCCCCAGUCCAGGCCCCUGAACCUUGUUCCGUGAGCGGUCUCGUGGACAAAAACAACAAUUGGUGCCUGAGCAGGAACUCGCAUAUACUAGGCGUCAGCCCGCCCACUGUUCUCUCACUUUCUGUGGAUGAAGUGCCCCCGCUAAAACCCCCUUGUCACUGGAAUAAUGGUCAUCCGGAAGAGUCUACCUUUUCCAGUCCAGGAUGGUGGCCUCCACCCUGUGUGCCGCCACCUUGUCGGAUGAGGCGAAACAAUCCUUUGAUCUGGCCUUAGCGUGGCUUCGGGGUCCUCGGCCUCCAGGCUGCUCAACCUCCACCUUCAAAGCCCAGCCAAGCACAGCUGAGAGCUCCAAAAAAGUUUCAGAGUGGAAGACCUACGGCUUCAAGGUGCCCGGGCCUGCUGAGCCGGGAAGGGAGCCUGGUCGUUGGCCGAGUCUGAAAGCUACGCGGUGGCCAAAGGUCCUUUUGGCUUCCGCCAAGGAUCCCGAUGCUCUGGCUGCUCGAGGCGGCUCCCCUGGAAAGACCAAAACUUCUCAGCUUAGGCCACAACAACUGCUGUUGAACAACCCUGGAGUGCCUACUCAUUAG